rnacentral:rRNA from 1 species
GAUGAACGCUAGCGAUAGGCUUAACACAUGCAAGUCGAGGGGCAGCAUGGUCUUAGCUUGCUAAGACUGAUGGCGACCGGCGCACGGGUGCGUAACGCGUAUGCAACUUGCCUCACAGAGGGGGAUAACCCGUCGAAAGACGGACUAAUACCGCGUACACUCCAUCUUGGGCAUCCAAGGUAGAGGAAAUGAAAUUCGCUGUGAGAUAGGCAUGCGUCCCAUUAGCUAGUUGGUGAGGUAACGGCUCACCAAGGCGACGAUGGGUAGGGGAACUGAGAGGUGGAACCCCCACACUGGUACUGAGACACGGACCAGACUACUACGGGAGGCAGCAGUGAGGAAUAUUGGUCAAUGGGCGAGAGCCUGAACCAGCCAAGUCGCGUGAAGGAUGACUGUCUUAUGGAUUGUAAACUUCUUUUAGACGGGAAUAACAAGAGUCACGGGUGACUCCCUGCAUGUACCGUAUGAAUAAGCAUCGGCUAACUCCGUG